rnacentral:rRNA from 1 species
UACGUAGGGGGCAAGCGUUGUCUGGAUUUAUUGGGCGUAAAGAGCGUGUAGGCGGCCAGGUAGGUCCGCUGUGAAAACUCGAGGCUUAACCUCGAGCUGUCGGUGGAAACCAUCUGGCUAGAGUCCGGAAGAGGAGAACGGAAUUCCCGGUGUAGCGGUGAAAUGCGCAGAUAUCGGGAAGAACACCCGUGGCGAAGGCGGUUCUCUGGGACGGUACUGACGCUGAGACGCGAAAGCGUGGGGAGCGAACAGG